CGGCAACCCGGAGGGGGGCGGGGCGUCCGGACGCGGAAGCGGAGCUGCUCACGUGAGGGACGGCGCCGGCGGGAGUAGCCGCCUCUGCGGACGCAGCCGGGGCAUCGACCAUGGCGCUGCCCCCGGCCGUCGGGGCCGCGACCUGGCCCUGCUGCAGCCUUCCCCUCACGCGUCCUUUCUCCCAAGCGACGCGGCGCUGGGGGCGGCCCGGCGGGGAGGAGCUCGGCCGCCUGCCCCUGGAUGACCUGGCGUCGGUGCAGCGGCCGGCCGGGGGCCCGGAGCUCCUGUUUGGCCUGUCCCCGUGCCUCCUGGCGCUGCGGGCCGCCCGCCGCCGCGUCGCCCGGCUCCUGCUCCAGGCCUGCAGGUCCGGGCUGCAGGGGCAGCGGGCCGAGCUGCUGCGCGCGGCCGAGGAGCGGGCCAUCCCGGUGCUGCGGCCCCGGCGGCGGGAGCUGGAUGUCCUGUGCCGUCACCAGGUUCACCAGGGCGUCUGCAUGGAAGUGAGCCCCCUGCGGCCCCGGCCCUGGGCCGAGGCCGAGGCCGAGGUGGCCCGGCCAGGAGACGACCCCCAGCAGCUGUGGCUCGUCCUCGAGGGGCUGCAGGAUCCCCGGAAUCUUGGGGCUGUGCUGCGCUCCGCUCACUUCCUCGGAGUGGAUAAGGUCAUCACCAGCCGGAGAAACAGCUGCCCGCUCACUCCAGUAGUCAGCAAGGCCAGCGCCGGGGCUAUGGAGGUGAUGGACGUGUUCUCCACUGAUGACCUGGCCGGUUUUUUACAGGCCAGAGCCCGCCAGGGCUGGCUCGUGGCUGGCACAGUGGGCUGCCCGGGACCUGAGAUCACCCUGUCCUCCAAGAUCCCCAUCACUCGCUGCUUGGAUUUCCUCUGGGACCGGCCUACCCUCCUUGUGCUGGGGAACGAGGGCUCUGGUCUGUCCCGGGCAGUGCAGGCCUCCUGCCAGCUUCUCCUCACCAUCCUGCCCGGCCGGCAGCUGCCUCCUGGACUCGAGUCCUUAAACGUCUCCGUGGCCGCAGGUGUGGCCGUUUGGCCUGAGAACAUUCUGUCGAGCGGCUGGUUAACAUACACUCGGCUUGGCACUGGGGUGGAUAGAUGGACACGUCCACAGAAAACAGAGGCAACGUGCCUGUGACGUGUGCUCCAAGACCGAGAAAACGGCGGAGACCCAGCUUGAGGUGUUGUGGAGUCCCCGCAGGAGACAAGGAAGACGAGUCUGGCUGUUACAGAGACUCGGUUGAGGAUAGACAACAGUCAGAAUCCUUCACUGGGCAAUGAUGCCAGGGUUAGUACGUGGUCCUGGAGACAGUUUGAGCCCGUCUAAGCCUCGGUUUCCCCAUCUGUAUGUAGAGGAAAGAGCACCUGCCUCCUACCCAUCUCCUGGAAGGCUGUUAUCAAGGCCUGAGACACAAGAAAACUUAGGAUGUGGAAGAAUACUGACUCUGGGACUCUCAUCAGAAUAACAAAAGACAGAGCAAACCUCCAGGUAUGGAGAGGGGACCAACUGUGUGACCCAAGGGAAGCCCGUCCUCUCCUUGGGCCCGACUUUUCCCUGCUGUGAACCUUCCGGACACCUGACUGGUGCCAGGGUACAGGAGGCUCAAUUAUGCUGCUGCCUCGGGGCUCCUGUUCUUGGGAAAAGGUUACAGCUGGAGCCAUAGAGCCUCUGUCUCCCAUUUGGACCUCUUUGAGAAGGACAUCUGGUUUGAGAGAGAUGAGGGAUCGAGUGUGAUUCCAUCCUUCCUAAAAAUGGAACAGAAAUCACGCGACAGCGAAUGUUGACUUGAGCUCAAGGUCUUUCCCACCAACAUGGAGAAGCCUCUGCUCCACAGGGCUCUGAGGUCAGCUGCCUCUGCCUUGCUCUGCAACCCCAGCGUUCGUGGGCUCAGUGUGUGUGGGAGGGACUCCAGGACCACUGGCAAUAUGUCAGCAUUCUGAAAGUUUCAUUCACUCAUUAAUUCAUCCAUUAAAAAAAAAGAUUUAUUUA